rnacentral:rRNA from 1 species
UGACCUUCCUAGGAGUGGGGAAUAACCUGCCGAAAGGCGGGCUAAGACCGCAUACGACCUUUGGGCUACGGCCCGGGGGUGAAAGCAGGCCUCUGUACACAAGCUUGCGCUCCUGGAUGGGCCCGCGGCCCAUCAGCUAGUUGGUGCGGUAACGGCGCACCAAGGCGACGACGGGUAGCUGGUCUGAGAGGAUGGCCAGCCACACUGGAACUGAGACACGGUCCAG